UGCAAAGUGGCGGUGCUCCGAACAUUCCACUGAUACACGUGCAAACUGGAUGAUCCUCUUGCACACGACACUCGGCGUUCGGGCCACAGGGCGAUGGUAAACAAGGAUUCUUUGGUCUUGGCAGUGGUAUAUCUGACAAAGAAAAGAGACCAGGGCAAGGAUCACCACAUUUUUGACCGAUGCAAGCCAAGUGUGCAGGACACUCUGAGCUAACUAGACAUUCUGGACGACAAUUAGGCGACGUUCCAUGAUAUCCUGGACUGCACGAACAAACGGCACGAUCGUUCAUCACGCGACAGAUACUGUGCGGUCCGCAAGGUGAUGGCAUGCAAGGAUUCUGAGAUGGAAGAGCUGGAAGAACCGAUUGAAAUUCAAUUUUACUCUCUAAAUAGAUUCUGCAAUGACAACUAAACAAAUAAAACUUUUUAUAAUACAAUUACAAUGGUCCGGACCCAAUAAUUAUAAAGACUUACGAGACGUCUCGAGUUUGCAAGAGCCAAACGGAUCGCCGGUGUAGCCAGGUAAGCAAGAACAAACUGGAACAUGAUCAACCACUUCGCAU